GCUUUUAAAGGAAAAAAGAAUUCCCCUGGUCUUAGGCACCAGUACUUCUUGGUGCAAGUCCAAGUAAAAGCUUGUUUAAAUCAAAA
rnacentral:tRNA from 1 species